rnacentral:tRNA from 1 species
GGAGGUGCUUCGGGGCUGGCGCCUCGCGCGGCCUUCAAAGCCGUUGCACCGGGGCUUACCCCCCGGCGGGUGGGUUCGAUUCCCAUGCACCUCCGCCA